rnacentral:rRNA from 1 species
ACAUGCAAGUCGAACGGAGUUUACAUGAAACCUAGUGAUUGUAAACUUAGUGGCGGACGGGUGAGUAACGCGUGGGUAACCUGCCCUGUACUGGGGGAUAACACACCGAAAGGUGUACUAAUACCGCAUAAGACCACGGGAUCACAUGGUUCUGAGGUAAAAGAUUUAUCGGUUUGGGGUGGGCUCGCGUCCGAUUAGGUAGUUGGUGAGGUAAUAGCCCACCAAGCCGACGAUCGGUAGCCGACCUGAGAGGGUGAUCGGCCACAUUGGGACUGAGACACGGCCCAAACUCC